UGGUUACAGGAAGAGUUGCCGAUCACGACCACCACGAAGAACGCGUUGAUAACGACCCAGCUUGGUCCCUGUGACGUUUAUCCGCAUCGCGUCAAAGUGUCCAUCAUCGGCGUAGGAAAGAUUGGAAUUGCCUGCGCUAUCGCGAUCUUGAUGAGAAGAAUGGCCAGCGAGGUCUGCCUGAUCGAUCACGACUCGAACAAGGCUUCCGCUGAGGCCGAGGACAUUCAGCACGUUGGAGCUUUCCUGGGGUGUCCUCUAGUAACUGGC
rnacentral:misc_RNA from 1 species